rnacentral:rRNA from 1 species
CCUACGGGUGGCAGCAGUGAGGAAUAUUGGUCAAUGGUCGGGAGACUGAACCAGCCAAGCCGCGUGCGGGAUGAAGGUACAGAGUAUCGUAAACCUCUUUUGUACGGGGACAAAGUCGGGGACGCGUCCCCGGAUGAGUGUACCUCAAGAAAAAGCAUCGGCUAACUCCGUGCCAGCAGCCGCGGUAAUACGGAGGAUGCGAGCGUUAUCCGGAUUUAUUGGGUUUAAAGGGUGCGCAGGCGGGCUGUUAAGGCAGCGGUAAAAGCCCGGGGCUCAACCCCGGCCCGCCGUUGAAACUGGCAGUCUCGAGUUGGAGAGAAGUAUGCGGAAUGCGCGGUGUAGCGGUGAAAUGCAUAGAUAUCGCGCAGAACUCCGAUUGCGAAGGCAGCAUGCCGGAUCCACACUGACGCUGAGGCACGAAAGCGUGGGUAUCGAACAGGAUUAGAUACCCGGGUAGUC